UAACAUUUUCAGAUACUUAGCACUAAUACU
rnacentral:piRNA from 1 species